CCUACGGGGGGCAGCAGUGAGGAAUAUUCGUCAAUGGACGCAAGUCUGAACCAGCCAUGCCGCGUGCAGGAAGACGGCUCUAUGAGUUGUAAACUGCUUUUGUACGAGGGUAAACGCAGAUACGCGUAUCUGUCUGAAAGUAUCGUACGAAUAAGGAUCGGCUAACUCCGUGCCAGCCGCCGCGGUCAUACGGAGGAUUCAAGCGUUAUCCGGAUUUAUUGGGUUUAAAGGGUGCGUAGGCGGUCGGAUAAGUUAGAGGUGAAAUCCAGAGGCUCAAAUUCGGAAUUGCAUCUGAUACUGUUCGGCUAGAGAGUAGUUGAGGUAGGCGGAAUGUAUGGUGUAGCGGUGAAAUGCUUAGAGAGCAUACAGAACACCGAUUGCGAAGGCAGCUUACCAAGCUACUUCUGACGUUGAGGCACGAAAGCGUGGGGAGCAAACAGGAUUAGAUACCCCUGUAGUC
rnacentral:rRNA from 1 species